UGGGGAAUUUUGGACAAUGGGCGAAAGCCUGAUCCAGCAAUGCCGCGUGUGUGAAGAAGGCCUUCGGGUUGUAAAGCACUUUUGUCCGGAAAGAAAUCUUUGGCUCUAAUACAGUCGGGGGAUGACGGUACCGGAAGAAUAAGCACCGGCUAACUACGUGCCAGCAGCCGCGGUAAUACGUAGGGUGCAAGCGUUAAUCGGAAUUACUGGGCGUAAAGCGUGCGCAGGCGGUUUGCUAAGACCGAUGUGAAAUCCCCGGGCUCAACCUGGGGACUGCAUUGGUGACUGGCAGGCUAGAGUAUGGCAGAGGGGGGUAGAAUUCCACGUGUAGCAGUGAAAUGCGUAGAGAUGUGGAGGAAUACCGAUGGCGAAGGCAGCCCCCUGGGCCAAAUACUGACGCUCAUGCACGAAAGCGUGGGGAGCAAACAGGAUUAGAUACCCUGGUAGUCCACGCCCUAAAACGAUGUCAACUAGUUGUUGGGGAUUCAUUUCCUUAGUAACGUAGCUAACGCGUGAAGUUGACCGCCUGGGGGAGUACGGUCGCAAGAUUAAAACUUAAAUGAAUUGACGGGGUCAUAGCUGUUUCCU
rnacentral:rRNA from 1 species